rnacentral:rRNA from 1 species
ACGUAGGGGGCAAGCGUUAUCCGGAUUUACUGGGUGUAAAGGGAGCGUAGACGGCAUGGCAAGCCAGAUGUGAAAAUCCGGGGCUCAACCCCGGAACUGCAUUUGGAACUGUCAGGCUAGAGUGCCGGAGAGGUAAGUGGAAUUCCUAGUGUAGCGGUGAAAUGCGUAGAUAUUAGGAGGAACACCAGUGGCGAAGGCGGCUUACUGGACGGUAACUGACGUUGAGGCUCGAAAGCGUGGGGAGCAAACAGG